GAUGAACGCUGGCGGCGUGCCUAAUACAUGCAAGUCGAGCGAACAGACGAGGAGCUUGCUCCUCUGACGUUAGCGGCGGACGGGUGAGUAACACGUGGAUAACCUACCUAUAAGACUGGGAUAACUUCGGGAAACCGGAGCUAAUACCGGAUAAUAUAUUGAACCGCAUGGUUCAAUAGUGAAAGACGGUUUUGCUGUCACUUAUAGAUGGAUCCGCGCCGCAUUAGCUAGUUGGUAAGGUAACGGCUUACCAAGGCGACGAUGCGUAGCCGACCUGAGAGGGGGAGCGGCCCAACGUGAACGGAACAACGGGCCAAACUCCUAAGGGGGGAAGCAGAAGGGAAUCUUGCGAAAUGGGCGAAAGCCGGACGGGGCAACGCCGGGGGGGGGAUAAAGGUUUUCGGAUCGUAAAACCUUGUUAUUAAGGAAGAACAAAUGUGUAAGUAACUAUGCACGUCUUGACGGUACCUAAUCAGAAAGCCACGGCUAACUACGUG
rnacentral:rRNA from 1 species